rnacentral:lncRNA from 1 species
CUGGCAUAUCCUUGAGGAUCUUAUUUCUGGAACCUGCUUUAUGUACUGCUGUGCCUGCCACAAACUCAGCACUUAACAUAGAGCUGUUGAAUGAAUGGAUGAUUCUAGACCAAGGGGAUCAGAUGAUGGAAACAGGUAGAAUAUAAAUAAUAAAUGGAGUAACGCGAUGCAAUAAGGAACCUGUCCAAAGAAUGUCUAAUGUAAGAAGACAAGAAAUGUAAGUAUAUUUGAUAAAUUCAAAUUGAUGAGCUGCAAAAGUGUA